rnacentral:rRNA from 1 species
UACGGAGGGGGCUAGCGUUGUUCGGAAUUACUGGGCGUAAAGCGCACGUAGGCGGCUUUGUAAGUUAGAGGUGAAAGCCCGGGGCUCAACUCCGGAAUUGCCUUUAAGACUGCAUCGCUAGAAUUGUGGAGAGGUAAGUGGAAUUCCGAGUGUAGAGGUGAAAUUCGUAGAUAUUCGCAAGAACGCCAGUGGCGAAGGCGGCUCACUGGCCCGGUACUGACGCUGAGGUGCGAAAGCGUGGGGAGCAAACAGG